rfam:Plasmodium berghei, WGS project CAAI01000000 data, contig: PB_RP1177
UCGACGAAUACUUAGUCAAGAUCAUUGCUAUAGUAUUUGUGAUGUUUUAUUGUUAUAAAAUAACGGAUAUUACAAAAGUGAUGAUGAAAUGACGCUACUCACAAAUGAAUUUUAAUUUCGAUAUUUUUUCAUUAUCUUUUGAUAUUGUUAAAGUAUCCGAAAAAAAGAUGAUAACUUUAUAACAAUUUUAAGAUCUUCUUAUUUUUGUUAUUAAAUUUUUAGAGUAUGUCGUCCGCUGAACUUCC